UUUCCCAGCACCAUUUAUUAAAUAGGGAGUCCUUUCCCCAUUUAGACCAGUUAGAAUGGCGAUCAUUAAAAAAUCAGGAAACAACAGAUGCUGGAGAGGAUGUGGAGAAAUAGGAACACUUUUACACUGUUGGUGGGAGUGUAAAUUAGUUCAACCACUGUGGAAGUCAGUGUAGCGAAUCCUGAAGGAUCUAGAACCAGAAAUACCAUUUGACCCAGCAAUCCCAUUACUGAAUAUAUACCCAAAGGAAUUAGAAAAAAAAUUUAAAAGCCCCAUGCUAAGUCCACCAAUAUGUGACAUACUGAAAGGAACAGUUAAAGAAUGAAAACAUACCUAUGCCCUUAGUGAACUUCUUGGUGAAAAAUAAAUAAGUCAACUUUUUUUGUUUUUCUUGAGUUACUGCUAUGAGCGGGAAACUAAUCCACAUUAUGUCCUUUAAUCCUCCUAACAACCAAUGAAGGGGCCAUUAUUUCCAAUCAACAGAGAAAAAGAUGGAGGCCUAGACAGGUUGAAUAAGUUGUCUAAGAUUUCACAGAGAAGACUCUUCGGUAUUCCACCAUGGGAUGGUAAAGAUCUGGCUGCCAGGAUUCAGUAAGAAAAGGAGGAUUCUGGCUUUCUUAUCCAUCAUGUAAAUGUCCCCUGUUUUGAGGAUGGUUCCCCUGUCAUCUACUGUAUCCCGUAUUCUUAACAUAGCCAAAAUAAACAGCCACACACUUACUGAAAUCAUAUCAUAUGUGCAUUUUUAAAGAAUAAAUAACUUUAUAUUCCAUUUGUAUAACAUUUUAUUGUUUGCGUAUUGCAUAGUGAAAAGAACAG
rnacentral:lncRNA from 10 species